rnacentral:RNase_P_RNA from 1 species
AACAUCGGGUAACUAAGCGCACAUAGGUGCGUUAGGAAAGUCCAUACUAGCACAAGCUGUGAUGCUUGUAGUGAUUGUGCUGAACGAAACCAUAAGUUCAGGCGCCCAAAAGGCGACGGCGGACGAAGGGAUUUAAAAGGCCCAUACGUCCUUAAGGUGCCACAGAAACGAGUCGUGUAAAACAUACACGGAUGAAACGCGGUAAACCCCUCAAGCUAGCAACCCAAAUUUUGGUAGGGGCACGGCCAAGCGAGAAACAGAAUCGACGAGGCUGACGGUCAAACGUAGAUAAAUGGUUACCCUCUUGCUUGCAAGAGACAGAACAUGGCUUACAGAU